rfam:Schistosoma margrebowiei strain Zambia genome assembly, scaffold: SMRZ_contig0000907
GCACUGCUGAGGAGUCCCAUACUUGGACGAAACCGCCGUCCAGUGC